UACGUAGGGGGCAAGCGUUGUCCGGAUUCAUUGGGCGUAAAGAGCGUGUAGGCGGCCAGUUAGGUCGGUUGUGAAAACUGGAGGCUCAACCUUCAGAGGUCGACCGAAACCAUCUGGCUAGAGUCCGGGAGAGGUGAGUGGAACUGCGAGUGUAGAGGUGAAAUUCGUAGAUAUUCGCAAGAACACCAGUGGCGAAGGCGGCUCACUGGCCCGAUACUGACGCUGAGGUGCGAAAGCGUGGGGAGCAAACAGG
rnacentral:rRNA from 1 species